rnacentral:rRNA from 1 species
UACAGAGGGUGCGAGCGUUGUCCGGAAUCACUGGGCGUAAAGGGCGCGUAGGUGGUGAGGUAAGUCGGAUGUGAAAUCUCCGAGCUCAACUCGGAAAUGGCAUUGGAAACUACCUUGCUUGAGGGUUGGAGGGGGGACUGGAAUACUUGGUGUAGCAGUGAAAUGCGUAGAUAUCAAGUGGAACACCAGUGGCGAAGGCGAGUCCCUGGACAACUCCUGACACUGAGGCACGAAAGCUAGGGGAGCAAACAGG